rnacentral:tRNA from 1 species
UGGUCCACUGGCUUAAGACUCUGCACUCCCAAUGCAGGGGCCUGGGUUCGAUCCCCAG